CACACACACACACACACUCACAAACACACACCCACACACACACACCCACUUAAUAACCUAACCUAACCACACACACACACACACACACACACACACACAAACACACACACACACACACACACACACACACACACACACACACACACACACACAAACACACACACACACACACACACACACACACACUCACAAACACACACACACACACACACACACUUAACCUAACCUAACCAAACCCCAAACAGUCACUACAGGUCUUGACUUAGAAAAUUUAUAUAUGGUUCCUUACUAACGAGACCUUCCAUACAACAAAGGGAGGUCAAACUGUACCCUCUUCCGCGUCUUGGGUCAUCGGGAGGUCACGGGGAAGGUCACAAAGCCCCCAAAAUAAGGUCAAACAUCUGUAACUGUGAUUUUAUAUGCUUUUUUUCUCAUUUUUUGUCACUCCUACGUCAUCCACAAGGUUACGAGGUCAAAGUUCACCCUUUUCUACGUCUUUGGUCAACGGAAGGUCAUGGGGAAGGUCACAAAACACCCAUAAUAAGGUCAAAAGGUAUGGCUGUCAGGUUAACAUUCGAUAUAUUUUUUCAUCUUUCGCUUUUUUUCUUACUUUCCGUCACUCCUACGUCAUCCACAAGGUCACAAGGUCAAAGUUCAUCCUUUUCCACGUCUUUGGUCAACGGGAGGUCACGGGGAAGGUCACAAAACACCCAAAAUAAGGUCAAACGGUGUGCCUGUCAGGGUAACACUCAACGUAUUUUUUUCAUAUUUUUCGUUUUUCUUAUUUUCCAUCACUCCUACGUCAUCCACAGGUCAACGAGGUCAAACUUUAUCCUUUUCCACGUCUUUGGUCAACGGGAGGUCACGGGGAAGGUCACAAAACCCCGAAAAAAAGGUCAAAAUGAAGCAAGAGGUGUUACUUGUUGACUCACACUGGACAGGAAUUUUCUUAUAUUUUUCGCCAUUUUCUUAUUUCCUCGCUUUCUUACGGCGUUCACAGGUCAAUGAGGUCAAAGUUUAUCCUUUCCCACGUCUUUGGUCAACGGGAGGUCACGGGAAAGGUCACAAAACCCCUAAAAUAAGGUCAAACUAAGUCCAUAGGUGUGGCUGUCACGGUAACACUCGACAUGAAUUUUCUCAUAUUUUUCGCUUUUUUCUUAAUUUCCGUCACUCCUACGGCAUCCACAGGUCACGAGGUCAAACUUUAUCCUUUUCCACGUCUUUGGUCAACGGGAGGUCACGGGGAAGGUCACAAAACCCCGAAAAAAAGGUCAAAAUGAAGCAAGAGGUGUUACUUGUUGACUCACACUCGAUAGGAAUUUUCUCAUAUUUUUCGCUUUUUUCUUACUUUCCGUCACUCCUACGGCAUCCACAAGGUCACGAGGUCAAACUUUAUCCUUUCCCACGUCUUUGGUCAACGGGAGGUCACGGGGAAGGUCACAAAACCCCUAAAAUAAGGUCAAAAUAUACCCAUAGGUGUGGCUGACUUGACCAUUUAGGGAAUACGCAAUCCACUUCACACCACUUUUUCGCCCCUUAAAUGACCCCUUGGAGCCCUUAGCGCCACACCACCUGGAAGAGGAACCUUUAAUUAAUUUAUAUGCAUACCUGUGAGGUGCCCCGCCGCAGCGUUGUCAAGUAAAAAGGAAAAUAAGAAGAGGAACAACAAGA